UACGGGGGGGGCAAGCGUUGUCCGGAAUUAUUGGGCGUAAAGAGCUCGUAGGCGGUUUGUCGCGUCGGAUGUGAAAGCCCGGGGCUUAACCCCGGGUCUGCAUUCGAUACGGGCAGACUGGAGUGUGGUAGGGGAGAUCGGAAUUCCUGGUGUAGCGGUGAAAUGCGCAGAUAUCAGGAGGAACACCGGUGGCGAAGGCGGAUCUCUGGGCCAUUACUGACGCUGAGGAGCGAAAGCGUGGGGAGCGAACAGG
rnacentral:rRNA from 1 species